AGCGAGCAGGAAGACUCUUCCUCUCGGCUUCCCUGACUCCCACGCCUUCAGAAGGCUCCGCACAACAAGACCGCAUGUUGCUCUGUCGAGCGCCUCCGGUCAAGUGAGCAGGACUGGGGUCUGCGACCAGGAGCUGGGUUCCGUCCGGGUCACAGUUCAGGUUCUACUGGGCGUAUCUUCAGUGACAUCACUUCUUCAAGGGUCCAUUUCCUGGGCCCCUCCCUGAAUUCAGACUCGCCCACAUGCCCCUCUGGGCUGCUGACUGCCCACCCUCCUGGCCCUUGCCGUGCAUGAGUACACAGAUCUCCACCAGAGCCCUCCCCUCGCUCUUUGGCAAUGACACCAGGGUCCCAGCUCUGAGGAGACAAGAGCUGAGCUCAGGCCGCUUUUUGUCACCAGUUCCCUGUCACGCUGAAGCCACAGCAGCUGCCCAAUGUCCCAACCUGCACAGGGAGGGUCAUGCCAGACAUUCCUCCCUAGGGACAUCCCCAGGGAUACAUGGAUGACCCCUCCAGCUCCUGGGGGCUGGUGUCACGUGUGUGCGACGCACAGACUCAGAGAUGGAAGAAUGCCAACCAGGCUUGGCAUGGAGCGUGGAACACCACGCAAGUCAGGCCGGGGUCUGUGCCUUGUGAUCUUGGGCAAGUCGGUCUCACGCUAGGCUGUUUUCAGGUGUGCACCUUGAAGGGGCAGCAAUGAGAGGAGAUACAGGUGUUGCCAUCUACUGGCAUCCACCUUCCAAAGGUCCGGGUUGCUCUCAAACUAUGUGCUUUUCAGACCAAACAGUAAAUGGGUCAGAGUAGCACACUGGAAAUGAGGUCUAUGCUGCCUCUGAAAUCCGAGGUGGUCCACCGGGCUGCUGUGCCCUUUGUGUGUGGGGGGUGGAGGAGGGGUCCAGGUACAGCACCUUAUUCAUCACCUUAGGAGAGCUUGGCAUGUCCACACGAUAGACUUCUAGAAACUUCUCUAAGAUGAAAGGUCCCUGAAUUUUUGUUGGAUUUAUUUCCCACCUUCUGACACGUGACUGUGCUAUCAACAUGCCUAGAUGAGCUGUACUUCCUGAUCACUGGGUCCAGUCAGCCUAGUACCAUCACUGGGAUGGGCCAGUGUGACAUCUUCUGGAAGGAAAAGGAGAUGAAGGUUCCUUCUGACUAAAUGACAGCCUAAGUCUGGAGGUCUGAUAUGCCUCUGAGAUAGUUUUCUCUCCUUGCCGGCUGAAAGCUAACUGCCCUGCUGGUCUUUACUCAUAGGAGGAGAACAGAGAGCAUUUUCCUGACCAAUACUUACACACUGGGUGCUUGGGGAUCAAGUGAUGAAGCCCCACGUGCAGCAGUAGCUGCAAUUUGAGACACUCCGAUCACGGUGAUAAUCAUGCACAGUCAUCUCCAAGAUCCAUCCAUCCGUUUUCUGAGUAGGCCCCGUGAGUGACUUCAAUAAGGCCCUUCAGAACAUGGGAUAACGCCUGUUUUUAGUGAAUGGCUGAAUAAAACCAAUUAAUCGUCAAAUUCACUCAGCUGAAUUUUGGUGUGAUCCUGGGAGUAACUAACAGAAGGGCCCUGAAAGAAAACGUGAUUUCCAUUUUUGCUAUAAAGAAUAAAUGAGAAAUUAGUUUCAUGACAAAACUGUAACUAUAAAAUAAGAAAUAAAGUUUGAAGGAAAAAUACUGAAUUGUAUGCACAUGAUAAUAUUGACUCAUGGCAUAUAAUAAUUAAACAGAGAAAACUGCAAAACCGAUCUGAAAAUCCAUAGUUACAAUGGGAUAUUUUAAUAUAUCCUUUCAGAUAAAGAAAAACACAGUAUUUGUUGACAUUUGAUGGCUUCAACAACAGUUAAUAAAAUACUUCUAGGAAACAACUACAGAAGUGCUCCUUUCACAAAAAAGGAAUGUAUCUUUUUUUUUUCUGGAUAAUUAUUUUUUUAUUGAAGGGUAGUUGACACACAGUAUUACAUUAGUUUCAGGUGUACAACACAGUGAUUCAACAUUUAUAUACAUGAUAAUUCUAGGUACCAGCUAUGACCAUACCAAGUUGUUACAAUAUUUUGACUAUAUUCCUUAUGCUAUACAAGGAAUGUAUUUUUAAUCGCAUACAAUCAAACAUAAUUAAAAAUAUAUUGAGGGAUUACAUUCAGCUGCAAGAGGAAACAGUCUUCGUGAGAGUUAGACGGUGUUUACCCUCACAUGGAAGGAGUGAGUCAGAGCCACUGGUUCUGUGUACAAUGUAGUAAAGAAACAA